AACGAACGCUGGCGGCAUGCCUAACACAUGCAAGUCGAACGAACCCUUCGGGGUUAGUGGCGCACGGGUGCGUAACGCGUGGGAAUCUGCCCUUUGCUUCGGAAUAACAGUUAGAAAUGACUGCUAAUACCGGAUGAUGUCUUCGGACCAAAGAUUUAUCGGCAAAGGAUGAGCCCGCGUAGGAUUAGGUAGUUGGUGGGGUAAAGGCCUACCAAGCCGACGAUCCUUAGCUGGUCUGAGAGGAUGAUCAGCCACACUGGGACUGAGACACGGCCCAGACUCCUACGGGAGGCAGCAGUGGGGAAUAUUGGACAAUGGACGCAAGUCUGAUCCAGCAAUGCCGCGUGAGUGAUGAAGGCCUUAGGGUUGUAAAGCUCUUUUACCAGGGAUGAUAAUGACAGUACCUGGAGAAUAAGCUCCGGCUAACUCCGUGCCAGCAGCCGCAGUAACAC
rnacentral:rRNA from 1 species